UCUCCAAUUUACAAUGUUGGAUUGAAAAAGAGUGACAUAUCAGAUUGAUACAUAAUGUAUAUGCACAACUCAUUAUUGUUUGGGGGCGGGGUUUAAAGUGAAACAGCCUUUAAGAGAUACAUAUAUUUCACUGAGGGAGAAGUGCUGAUGACCUCCAAGUGGAAGUGUCCAGAUCCUCAUUUCUUGUAUGUGACACUGUUACAAAUAAUUCAUUUGUGCAGAUUAACAACGAGAGCCAUUGGUAUCGUCUGCUUUCCAUUCACUGUGUGAGGGACUACAUUCCACUGUUCUCCACGGUCGACAGAAAAAAAGUUAAAGAAUUAAGAUAUGGCGUCUCUCAGCAUGACAGAAGACCAGUUGUGCUGUUCCAUCUGCCUGGAUCUCUUCGUCCACCCUGUCUCCACUCUCUGCAAAUGUACGCCAUGUUUUAUGGAACUUUCCAUGGAUCCCAACUUCGUAUUAUGUCUCAUACAGUAAAUUGUAUAUAUUUUUUGUCUGCCACUGGUUUACACUGAUUUGUCCCCCAGGGAGGAAUAAAUACCCUAUCUAUCUAUCAAA